UCAGCGAGGCCCGCCCCUCCCCAGCGCGGGUUGAAAGCCGGAAGCUGGCUAAGGACCGCGUACUCUGCUUCACAGUAACUAAAAGAUUCAGGGCGUUUCCGUGUGCGCCCCCAGACCUGGGCCGCGAGACCUCGCCACCGUGACGCGGCCAUGGGGGCUCUGCCCCGCUGGCCGCCCGCGGUUCUGGGACUCCCGGUGGGGCUGCUUCUCCUGUGUGUGAGCGCUCUGGCCCCGGUUCGCGCCUCCUUGCGGCUGUUGGACCACCCGGCACCGGUCUGUUCGCAGCAGGAGCUAGACUGCAGAGUCAAGAACAGUACCUGCCUGGAUGACAGCUGGAUCCACCCCCGGAACCUGACUCCCUCCUCCCCAAAACACAUUGAGAUCCAGCUGCGCCUUGCCAGAACGCAGCACGGAGACCUGGUCCCUGUGGUGCACAUUGAAUGGACACUACAGACAGAUGCCAGCAUCCUGUUCCUUGAGGGUGCAGAGCUGUCUGUCCUGCAGCUGAACACCAAUGAACGUCUGUGUGUUGAGCUGGAGUUUCUCUCCCAACUGAGCCAUCACCGCAAGCGGUGGCGUUUCACCUUCAGCCACUUUGUGGUAGAACCCAGCCAGGAGUACGAGGUGACUGUUCACCACCUGCCCAAGCCCAUCCCUGACGGGGACCCAAACCACCUGUCCAAGAAGCUCCUUGUGCCAGAUUGUGAGGACUCCAGGAUGAAGAUAACCACGCCAUGUGUGAGCUCAGGCAGCCUGUGGGACCCCAACAUCACCGUGGAAACCCUGGAGGCCCACCAGCUGCGGGUGAGCUUCACGCUGUGGAACGAAUCCUCCCAUUACCAGAUCCUGCUCAACAGUUUUCCACACAUGGAGGACCACAGCUGCUUCGAGCACAUACAGCGGAUACCUGCGCCCAAACAAGAGGAAUUCCACCAGCGAGCCAACCUCACUCUCCCGCUACACAGCUCUAACUGGUGCUGUCGCCACCGAGUACAGGUCCAGCCCUUCUUCAACAGCUGCCUUAAUGACUGCCUUAGACACACUGUGACCAUCCCCUGCCCAGACGUUCCAGAGCCUUCAGUCACAAUUGCAGAGUAUAUACCCCUGUGGGUGUAUGGCUUCAUCACGGGCAUCUCUAUCCUGCUGGUGGGCUCCAUCAUCCUGAAGACCAAAUGCACAACUUGGGGGCAACAUGAUGUCCCUGCCGAUGAACUGACCCUCCCAACCCCUGA
rnacentral:lncRNA from 1 species